rnacentral:tRNA from 1 species
GCCGGGUUAGCUCAGGGGUAGAGCAUUCGCCUUGUAAGCGAACGGCCAUCGGUUCGAAUCCGAUACCCGGCU